rnacentral:misc_RNA from 1 species
GAAAUGCGAUACGUAGUGUGAAUUGCAGAAUUCAGUGAAUCAUCGAAUCUUUGAACGCACAUUGCGCCCUUUGGUAUUCCAAAGGGCAUGCCUGUUCGAGCGUCAUUUGUACCCUCAAGCUUUGCUUGGUGUUGGGCGUUUUUUGUCUUUGGCUCGCCCAAAGACUCGCCUUAAAACGAGUGGCAGCCGGCCUACUGCUUUCGCAGCGCAGCACAUUUUUGCGCUUGCAAUCAGCAAAAGAGGACGGCAAUCCAUCAAGACUCCUUCUCACGUUUGACCUCGGAUCAGGUAGGGAUACCCGCUGAACUUAAGC